rnacentral:rRNA from 1 species
UACGAGGGGGGCGAGCGUUGUUCGGAAUUAUUGGGCGUAAAGGGUGCGUAGGCGGUUUGGUAAGUCUUAUGUGAAAUCUAUGGGCUCAACUCAUAGUCUGCAUGAGAAACUGCCGGGCUUGAGUAUGGGAGAGGUGAGUGGAAUUCCUGGUGUAGCGGUGAAAUGCGUAGAUAUCAGGAGGAACACCCGUGGCUAAGGCGGCUCUCUAGUACGGUACUGACGCUGAGACGCGAAAGCGUGGGGAGCGAACAGG